AUUGAACGCUGGCGGCAGGCCUAACACAUGCAAGUCGAGCGGAUGACGGGAGCUUGCUCCUUGAUUCAGCGGCGGACGGGUGAGUAAUGCCUAGGAAUCUGCCUGGUAGUGGGGGACAACGUUUCGAAAGGAACGCUAAUACCGCAUACGUCCUACGGGAGAAAGCGGGGGACCUUCGGGCCUUGCGCUAUCAGAUUAGCCUAGGUCGGAUUAGCUAGUUGGUGGGGUAAUGGCUCACCAAGGCGACGAUCCGUAACUGGUCUGAGAGGAUGAUACGUCACACUGGAACUAAGACACGGUCCAGACUCCUACGGGAGUCAGCAGUGGGGAAUAUUGGACAAUGGGCGAAAGCCUGAUCCAGCCAUGCCGCGUGUGUGAAGAAGGUCUUCGGAUUGUAAAGCACUUUAAGUUGGGAGGAAGGGCAGUAAGUUAAUACCUUGCUGUUUUGACGUUACCGACAGAAUAAGCACCGGCUAACUCUGUGCCAGCAGCCGCCGUAA
rnacentral:rRNA from 1 species